rnacentral:rRNA from 1 species
GUCCACGCCGUAAACGGUGGGCGCUAGGUGUGGGGACUGUUUCCACGGUUCCUGUGCCGUAGCUAACGCAUUAAGCGCCCCGCCUGGGGAGUACGGCCGCAAGGCUAAAACUCAAAGGAAUUGACGGGGGCCCGCACAAGCGGCGGAGCAUGUGGAUUAAUUCGAUGCAACGCGAAGAACCUUACCUGGGUUUGACAUGCACAGGAUCGCCCCUGAGAGGGGGUUUCCCUUGUGGCCUGUGUGCAGGUGGUGCAUGGCUGUCGU